UGCGCACUGCACUCGUAGUACACGCUCCGACCGGAUGAUCUUUGAAGCUCAUCUACAGCUCUAGCUUUGACUCACACACGUGAAUACGAGCUGCGCUAGUCUGCCGCCUAAUUCCCCCGGUCCGGUGCGUGCAACUAGCUGUGAUGUUCGAUGCCCGAUCGGGUUUUCAGGCAGAGCUUGUGUCGAAUUCUAAGGACUGUUACGUGUAACAUUUCGUGCGAGAUUGGGAUUUGAGGACGCUCUGAAUAUAGAGCAGCGAAGUUCCUUCUCCUCUGACGUUGUGGAAAAACAUAGGCAGCCAUCAUGAUCAUCUCAAGAAUUCCUGGGAGACUCUUCCCCAGUAGAUUUCUCCAGGUGAGCAACACAGCACCCCGCAAUGAACGUAUCCCAGCCCCUAGGUCAGCUCUGUUCAUCCUGUGCUUAGGGGUGUGUCUGUCCAUGUUCAGUGCUCAUCGGCUUCACACGACAUGCUCAAUCAAACAUGUGAAAGACAAGUAGACUCAUCGUGAUAUACAUGUACAGAACAGAGACUUUAAAAAGAACAUGAAGAUAGAGACAUGCUCAUGUAUUAAACAGAACCUGCUGGACAGGCCUGUAUGAGGGCCUGGCGUUUGCUAAUGGGAAGUGCAUAAGACAGCAAUCACAUGAAGAAGCCCUACCCGCAAUGGAAUGGCGUACGUACAGGGAAAUGGAAUAUGUGGACAAUACCCCAAGGAAUAGUUGAUAUCUUCAACAUCAGUGGAUACCAUCGAUCCGUGACUGUUGAUAAAACUUGACAGGGAACAUCUGCAAUCAAGUGCCUAGUAUGAGAGUAUACACUGUCAAGCUUCUCCAGAGGUAUCAUCCAUUAUAAGAACUAUGAGAACGUACUAUGAGAAAGAAAGGGCAAAGUUUAAAACUUCAACAGGAAAUAGGCAUGAUGUUUAUUAGACUUUUAAUGCAAUAUCUGAGAUCAUCAUCAAAGUUUUAGGUUAUCAACGACAAUACAUUAUAUAUAAAGCUUCUUCUAAGCCCAUAGACACCUGAAUUAUUUUAUUUCCAUCAGCUUGAAUACUUAUACAGGAGCCACCUGGCUCAUGUAGGCAAUGGGUUAAGUGGAUUAAUCCCUAUGGUAGUUAAGAUAUGAAUUCAAAAUUAUUUUCCUUUGGCUGUCUGUCCUCAAUUUUUAACGCAUUGGAAUUAAAAGAAAUUGAAAUUUUGCACCAGUCAACUUCGACCAUAGGGCCUACAUUUAGGUGUGAAUUCUAUCUUUCAACUUGAUCAGGUUUGAUGAGUAAGUACCUUCCUAUUGUAAUAUAUUACAAAAGAAAUAGGUGAAUGUUUGGCUGUUGUUCAUGCCGACAUCACUACAUGUAUUCCUUUUUAUUGAUUAUAUGGACAAUUGGGCAAUUUUCCAUUUUGUCAUUGAGUAAAUUGGGAGUUGCCACAGUCUAGAGAAUGCAAAUGUAGUUUAUAGCUAACCUGCCCACAUGUGUGUGACAUUAUCGAAAUGAAGUGUACAUUCAUGCUGUAAAUAAUAGAGUUUAUGACUAGCACACGUACAUGAUUUAUAACAUUGCUCUUUGCCUGCUACAGUAAAGGAUGAAAUGCAUAUAACUGUAGAUCCAUAAACAUCAGUUUUAUCUCCUUUGAACUUUUCCACCUGAUAUAUAGUGGUGUUCCCAUGAAUUUGGAAAUGCUUGUAACUUUUUAUUGAGACCUAGAUUUAUGGGGGGGGGGGGGGGGGUUAUACAUGUAUUAUUUGUUCAGCAAGUACAUGUGCUUGUACACCUGUAUGUGCCAUUGAAACCAGUCAUAUUCUCUAAUUCUUCUGUACAUGUAGUAAAAGCUACAUGCUUGUUUAAAUAGCAUGGCACUGUUGUAGAUUUAUCCUUAAGUUUGCAAACACAUGAAGUUCUAAUUCACAACCUUCAAAUAACAAUGUGGGUUCACAUGGCACUACAAAAAUGAAUGCUUGAGGUUUUUAUCUACAAGCCAAGAUAAUUAUUGUGGAACACCUUCAAGUUACCGGUAAUUGUGUUUGCACAACACAUACAUUUGGAAAUCCAAGUGAGGACUCCAACAACUUGCAGUCAUUACGGUAACCUGGAGAUCACUGGUGGUUUGAAACUGAGUAAACCUUGUGUUUCUUAAAUGGUCUGCACUCUGCUCAACUACAACUUACAAGAUAAUCUUGAAGUUUAGAACCUCGAGCCAAACUUCAGUCUAUGCCCUGUUGCGUAUACCUAGCUGAUGUGUGAAAGUAACAGUAGGGAUUCCCUGGUCACAAUGUCUGAUUGCAUUCAGCCUUUGACCUUUAAAGAGCAAUAUUUGAUUGAUGGUCUCAAACAUGUGCUGGAUGAAAAGUGAAUUUAUAGGUCACAACCUUUAUUACUUAACAUAUCUUCAGUACAUUGAAAGGUAUACGGUGGUGAUGAAGAGAGUUAUGUAAAUGGUGUAGUCUUGAGCAAUGUUCUCACAUGAGGGGAUAAACUGCUAGGGCCAAAAUUGAAAUAAUGAGUAAUGUAUAGUGAUCAUGACAACUGGUAUGGCAGUAACCAGAAACUUCCGCAUUCACGAUCGACACAACAAUCGAUACUUGCAAUUUGCGAAGGUUUCUUUUUUUGCUAUGAAAAUGGCCUUCCUUUACAACUUGAGAGUGUUGCUGGUCUAUACUCUAUAGUACCCGGUACUCUAACACACAGAUCAGUUAAUACUUGUUGGGGCUAGUGCAUCCUCUAUUUCUUGUUCACCCUCACAACAUUGCUUUGUUACCACACAUCUACACAUUUGUGUGUGUAUUUUUGCCAUUGCAGUUGUUUUAGUUCCUCUAAUUCCUUUUUGAAUGAUUUACUGCCUCAUGUGAGAACAUUGCUCCAGAUCUGCUUUAUUGAUAGAUGAUAAGGUGCAUAUAUUUGAAUGUAAAGCUCAUAGAAGGGUGAUUAAUGUUUGAAAAAAGAUAAGUGAACAUGUAAAUGUGCAGUAAGCCAAAUUGAAAUGCCAACAUAAGUCUUUUCACAACAGAUGUACUUAUUACCCCUCUGAUAGACUGAUACUAAUUGUCUAUUGUGAAGACUGUACAAUGUGAGUGUGUAUUGAUAGUUGAUACUGUACUGUUUGAUAAAACAAAUUCAAUGCAAAUCAAUUUAUUUCAAUAACAUUAACAUGAAAAAUCAUUAUGAAAUGGGGAAAUAUAUUCAUGUACAAUGGUCAUAAAUGAUGCAGAAAAGGAAACUAGCAAGAAAGGAGAGAUGUAUUUGGGAAGGUCCUACCUUUGUUAUUGGUUCAGGAAUUACAUGUACUUCAGUUAUUCAUAAAUAUAUUACAUUUGUUUCAGUAAUGAGUAUCUAUUUGAAUAAAAGCUUAGUGAUGUCAUGUAACAGAAGUAACGGAAGGUGCCUAUGUUUCUUAUUCUCUAUUUAAAAAAAUGUUUAUAUUCGCACGUCUCAACAUACGUGAAAUAAAUUGCUAAUACAUUGCUAUAAAUAUGUUCAAUACUUUGAUAAAAUCUGAUUUAGAUGUAAAGAAAAUGCUAAUUUGCUGUUGGUUAGCAGUAAUGUAACACAUUUGAAGAAAGAAAAAGAAUAGAAGAAUAAGCAUAGGCAACCAUUUUGUUAUUAUGGCAUUUACUGGUAUGCCUACUUGUUUAGGUAAAUGUCUUCACAAAUUCACAUGCAUGAAGUGCCUUUUGUUUUCAUCAUUAUUUUCAUCAUUGAUGCAAAUCUUAACAUCAUUCUAUUCCCAACAUUUACAUGACUAUAUUUGAUUCAGAUGGUGAGGAUAUUUUCUAAAUGUGUUACAGUUAUUGCAAUAGAGGCACAUUUAACAAUUUAUUUAAGGGGGAUGCUAUAUUUGAGUCCCAUUUUUAUUUAACAUUCAGAUAUUUUGUUUAGGUAGUACAUGUACAAUUUGUACAUGAUAUAUAUCCCCAAUUUGAUGGAAAGUUCUAAUUGUUUUACCACCAUUUUAUUCACAUAUACACCUUGCUGGUUAAGCUUAUUCGGUUAGUUUAAGAAUGAUAUAAUCCUAUGUUAAUUCUUGUAACAUUUAGAUAUUUUUAUGUUCCUACAGUAUUUGCAGCAUAUCUAUUCUGCUUGUGAUUAUAUUAUGAUUUGAUCCUUGAUGAAUUAAAGUUUUUGAAGAUGUAA